GGUAAACGCUGGCGGCGUGCCUAAAACAUGCAAGUCGCACGGGGAGCUUCGGCUUCCAGUGGCGGACGGCUGAGUAACGCGUGGGCGACCGGCCCGGAGAUGGGGAACAACUUCUCGAAAGAGGAGCUAAUUCCGCAUACGCCUGCAGGGUCAAUCCUGUAGGGAAAGCUUGUAAGAGCGUCUCCGGAGGGGCCGCGUCCGAUUAGCUAGUUGGUGGGGUGACGGCCUACCAAGGCGAUGAUCGGUAGCUGGUCUGAGAGGAUGAUCAGCCAGACUGGGACUGCGAAACGGCCCAGACUCCUACGGGAGGCAGCAGUUAGG
rnacentral:rRNA from 1 species